rnacentral:lncRNA from 1 species
GUUUGUUUGCUGGCACAAGACAUGCAAAUAUCUAAAUUUCUGAAUUCAAUCUAAUGGAAUGUGGGUUUAUGGGCUGAGAGGUGAGCUAGGCCACAGCAUGUGCUGAAUUCUGGGGCCACCUUUCUUUCCUCUCUCUUAAUGAAUGCUAAAAAUGAGUGCCACUGUACCAAGCCAAGAGAUGGAUGUUAGAAACAAGGGGCAAAUAUGUAAGUCUCUGGAGAGAAUAUCACUGAAGAAACUGUCUAUAAGGAGACGGUAUCCACCAGAACAAGCCAGGGGUCCUCUCACUAUUGGCCUUCUUGGAAGGCAGAGCCAGCUUAGAGAAACGCUUGGCCUUUGCCUCAGUACCACCAUUUGCACAGAGCCCCCUUUUGUGAUGCUUUGGGCUAGAAUUGACCUCCAUCCUGGGAUGCCACUCAUCCAUGUCACCCAGUGCUCGAUGGGCUCAGCUUCUGAGAGGCGUGAGGUGGGCGUGCCAUGGGGUGGCUUGUUUUCCUCGAC